rnacentral:rRNA from 1 species
AUUUCGAUAACGAACGAGACCUUAGCCUGCUAAAUAGGAUCGGGAACCUCGGUUCUCGCAUCACUUCUUAGAGGGACUUUGCGUGUCUAACGCAAGGAAGUUUGAGGCAAUAACAGGUCUGUGAUGCCCUUAGAUGUUCUGGGCUGCACGCGCGCUACACUGAUGCAUGCAACGAGUUUUUGACCUUGGCCGGAAGGUCUAGGUAAUCUUUUGAGUAUGCAUCGUGAUGGGGAUAGAUUAUUGCAAUUAUUAAUCUUCAACGAGGAAUGCCUAGUAGGCGCAAGUCAGCAGCUUGUGCCGAUUACGUCCCUGCCCUUUGUACACACCGCCCGUCGCUGCAACCGAUCGGAGGGUCCUGUGAACUCGAUGGACAGCCCAUCCCCUUCUUGGGGUUGGGCUGGAAGUUGCGUAAAUAGCGCCCUCUAAAGGAUGCAAAAGUCGUAACACGGUUUCCGUAGGUGAACCUGCGGAAGGAUCAUUC